GUCAGUGAUGACAUUUUACUGGUUCCCGAAAUGCAGGUUUUUAAACUGCAUAAAGUGUUGAAAAUCGUGAACUAGGACGGUCUGAGGC